AUAACACCUGGAANAGUGCUAAUACCGGAUAACAACAGAUGAUGCCUAUCAACUGUUUAAAAGAUGGUUCUGCUAUCACUCUUGGAUGGACCUGCGGUGCAUUAGCUAGUUGGUAGGGUAACGGCCUACCAAGGCGAUGAUGCAUAGCCGAGUUGAGAGACUGAUCGGCCACAUUGGGACUGAGACACGGCCCAAACUCCUACGGGAGGCAGCAGAC
rnacentral:rRNA from 1 species